UCCCACUUAGCUCAGUUGGUAGAGCGCGACACUAGUAAUGUCGAGGUCAGUCGUUCAAGUCGGCUAGUGGGAA
rfam:Neolentinus lepideus HHB14362 ss-1 unplaced genomic scaffold NEOLEscaffold_5, whole genome shotgun sequence.